rnacentral:rRNA from 1 species
CAGCAGCCGCGGGAAUACAGAGGGUGCGAGCGUUAAUCGGAUUUACUGGGCGUAAAGCGUGCGUAGGCGGCUAAUUGAGUCGGAUGUGAAAUCCCCGAGCUUAACUUGGGAAUUGCAUUCGAUACUGGUUAGCUAGAGUGUGGGAGAGGAUGGUAGAAUUCCAGGUGUAGCGGUGAAAUGCGUAGAGAUCUGGAGGAAUACCGAUGGCGAAGGCAGCCAUCUGGCCUAACACUGACGCUGAGGUACGAAAGCAUGGGGAGCAAACAGGAUUAGAUACCCGGGUAGUCCCUGUCUCUUAUAC